UGGGGAAUAUUGCACAAUGGGCGCAAGCCUGAUGCAGCCAUGCCGCGUGUGUGAAGAUGGCCUUCGGGUUGUAAAGCACUUUCAGCGGGGAGGAAGGCGGUGAGGUUAAUAACCUCAUCGAUUGACGUGACCCGCAGAAGAAGCACCGGCUAACUCCGUGCCAGCAGCCGCGGUAAUACGGAGGGUGCAAGCGUUAAUCGGAAUUACUGGGCGUAAAGCGCACGCAGGCGGUCUGUCAAGUCGGAUGUGAAAUCCCCGGGCUCAACCUGGGAACUGCAUUCGAAACUGGCAGGCUAGAGUCUUGUAGAGGGGGGUAGAAUUCCAGGUGUAGCGGUGAAAUGCGUAGAGAUCUGGAGGAAUACCGGUGGCGAAGGCGGCCCCCUGGACAAAGACUGACGCUCAGGUGCGAAAGCGUGGGGAGCAAACAGG
rnacentral:rRNA from 1 species